AUAUGCUUCGGCAGUACUUAUACUAAAAUUGGAACGAUACAGAGAGAAUUAGCAUGGCCCGUGCGCAAGGCUGACACAUACUCACUUCCCACUACCAGUCUUAAAAUUCUU